rnacentral:lncRNA from 1 species
CUCAAUGAAGAAAGGAAAGAAGAGAUAGAGGAAAAAUGGAUUCAACAAAUGAAAGUGUUCUUUCUGACUAUUGCUGUGUUUACAAACACUUUAAUCAUCAAAACAUGCUUUAUUUGAUAGAAGGAUCAAAUCUGCCUUUGUAAAACAAGAGACUACUUUAAUCAUUAAGACAACAUACAUGUUUGAUUUGGAGGCGUGUUCUCAUUCAAAACCUUGCAAAAUAUAAUUUCUUCUUGUCUGGGA